AUUAAUAGAUUUUGAAUUAACGUUUUAUAUUUGCCAGUCAGUCAGACCGAGUAGACUAAAGCAGGAUAUUUACAAUUAAGUAAUUUUUGAUAAUGUGGUAACACUGUUCCUGCUGUCAUAAGAAAAAAUUGCGCACGACUCUUUUACUAAUUCACGCGCCGUCACGCAUGCGCCCCACAAAGGUGAAGUUCCUGAAUUUUUUCGUUCCUGCGUUGCAAAAUGCGAAUUUAGCAACCUACGGCGAGGUUCCAUAGAGAGGGUUUUCCGCGAAAACGGCGUAUUAAUUCCGAUAAUUGACAAGGACACACGGUCUUUGUUUCCCCCCAAAAACAAAACGAACAUGUCUUCGGGGUUGGCGUCCCGUUUGAAACAUCCCAAGAAACACGAACUGGUUAAGUCGCACAGUCAGGCCCAGCUGUUGGCAAAUAAAUUGAGACAGGAUGGAGUCAUGGUCGCAGUGGAUGGAGUAUUGCAAGCAGUUGACCAAGUGGCAGCCCUUCUAGCCUCAAAUAUUCCUGAUAUUAACUACAAAGAAAGCAUUAUGAAUAUGUGCCAACACCUUAAGGUGUAUGGUGCAUACUUAGAAAUAUUAUACAAAGAGCAGCUGGACCAUGCCUUCAAAAUAUUCAGGGACAAAGCCCAAGACGAGAUACGAGUCGAUAUGUUUUCACGAUUACAUUUAUUGCAACUAAUUGAACUGCGCGCGAAAGGUUGGAAAGGUACCGAUGGCAUGAACAUGUAUUACAAAAAGAAACUGAACCAGUGCUCCCAGGUUGAUCUCAGCGACUCGGUAACCAGCCUAAGCGACUCUAUGUCUUCAGUAUUAACAUUAAACCCUUCGCCACCCAUGUUAGGACCAGGCGAAGUGAUCAAACCAUCCGGAAAGUUUGCUAAACCUACCAGGAUACCUGGCAAAAAGUAUUGUAAGGAUGAGGUGGUCAUAAGGAACGCUGACUCAGGCAAAGUGAUGGGGAUCAAAGGCAGACGGGUUCAUAUGAUAGAGGAACUAAGUGAGACUAUCAUAUCCUUCCAGAGAGUUAGUCCUGGUGCCAAGGAGCGUUUGGUACAAAUCACCGGGGCUAACGAGGAAAGUAUUAAUCAUGCGAAGCAACUUAUCGAGGACACGAUAAGGAGAAACGCGUCUCCGGUACGCGAAGGUAGUACCGGGGUUGGCGGACCUCUGACCGGUUCCAGUUCCAGUAUCAAUUCAUCAGCUUCCGACGACAGCGCUUUGCCGUCUUCGGCCAGAGUUUCCAGAGCUCUGAUGCACAGUCUGAGCACCCCCGAUGCCAACCUCGGGGAGUACAAGUAUACCGUUAUCGCUAACGGGCACACUAUUAAGAUUACCGGGGAUAAUCUGGAUCUAGUUCGGACAAGCAAGCUGGUACUCGACGAGUACUUCUCCGGCGAGCCGAUCCACGACAUGGCCCAGUUUUACAGUUUCGACAGUUUGCCGCAGCCGAUGUUGCCCGACGAUUUGGAAAACCCUCUCUCGCCCCCCGAAUCGUUGCCCUCGCCGGGGCCGACCGUUAACGGGCAACCCGGUGCGACGACCCCGCCGCUGACCGCAUCCGCCCCCUUAACUUCGACGGCGGCCAAAGAUAACGACACAGGUAACGAUUAGUUAAGUCCGUUUUUCUUUUCUUUCAUCUUUUUUGUUCAAGUGUAAAAUCCAUUCAGGACAUCAUCACACGGAUUCGAGUUUUUAUUUGGAAUUCUGGUAACUGUGUAUGAGAACAAUAUACCUGUGCCAUAAUUUGGAGAAACUAUUUCAGUGCUAUGGUAUCGUUUUUUUUUAAUCAAAUUUUAAUUUCGUUAACGUACACUGUGUCCAAUUUUAGAUGAUAUUGCAGGGUAUCUCUGUCAUUUUUUAAGAUAUAGCUUUGCGAUUUUCGCAACCCUGUAUCACUUUUUUGUAAAACUGUGAAAGCCACAAAAAAAAUAUUCCAACUACUUUUGUUCCUGAAAUACAGUGUUCUUGAACCUUUGUAGAGAUUUUUCUGCCCGACUCUCCUAUGUAAAUAGAGUUGCAUUCUUCACAACACAUUGAGUAAACCCUCGAUUUUGCUUUGCUUUUAACUUAUUUUUUAAAAAGUUUAAUUGACUCAGGCUUGUCUGAUUCUGUAUCUCUGUUUGAACCAUCUCCCCAUUUGCAGCAAAAAUGUAAGAUUUAAAAAUCAUAUUCUUUAUUUUUUUUAAGUCUUUAUGUGUAGUAGGUAUGUCAGUUUCUCGUUCUUUAUUAGAUGUGAAUGCAGAGAUUGAAGUUCGGGAUUGGGAGUGUUGACUAUUUGUUUCUAGCGAAGUUUUAAGUAUGCUAUCGAAUUUUCUUUCAUAUUAUUGCUUUUUCUUAGUCGAAGGAAUGGCUUUGUGUAGAUACUUAUGUGAAGUGUCUAUUCUCAGAUCGUUCAUUAAGGGAUAUAAUUUUUUGGGCAUUUAUUAGGCAUCAUAAUAAGUUUUUUGUAAUUUAUAUAGUGAAACCUAAUUAGGUCUUUCUUGUAAGGUCUUCUGUGAAAAAAAAUCUCUUUAAAAUCUCAAUUUUUGAUUGAAUUUAUAGAAAAGCAACAAAAGGGUUUUAGUGGGACAUCCUGUAAUGUUAAAUGAUCGUAAUUGUGUAUCUACAGUAUUGGUCAUAAUAGUUGGAACUUUUGAAAAUUUAUUAUAUUUUGUGUGCCUUUUAAUUAGCAUUUUAUUUUCUUUUAUAAAGUUGUUGUAUACGAAAAACUAGUGUUAAUUAAUUUAAGUGUUGACAAAAAUUCAGCACCCGUAGCAGUUCGGAAUAAAAAUUAAAAAAAAGCUGGACAAAAUACUUGGAACUGUUUUUUUUUUCAAAAACGACAUAAAACAUAACUUAUUGAAACCAUUAUAUUAUAAUUAAUAUUUGGUAUGGUAACCCUUAGCAUUAAUUACUGUCUGCAUUCUUCUGGGCAUUGAUUCAACCAAAUUUUCAAUUAUUUGUCUGUCAAUGUGAGUCCAGGCUUCAACAAGCUUAUGAAAUAGUUCAUCAGCCUUUUUGACUGUUCCAGAUGCCCGAAUUUUGCGAUCCAGAUGUUCCCAUAAAUUUACAAUCGGGUUUAAGUCUGGACUCUGGGCCGGCCAUUUUAAAACUGUGAUCUUUUCUUGGUCCAACCAUUCUUUUACCAAUUUUGACGAAUGUUUUGGAUCAUUAUCAUGCUGGAAUACAAAAUUUACUGACAUAGACUCAAAUGUGUAAGGCUCCAUUAUAUUUCGCAAAAUAUCCCGAUACAUAAAUCGAUCCAUUUUCCCCACAAUUUUAUGUAUUGGCCCAGUACCAUACCAAGAAAAGCAUCCCCAUACUAUCACAUUACCACCUCCAUGUUUAACCGUAGGUCGGAUAAACUUUUUCUUGAGUCUUUCACUUUUUCGGUCGUCUUACAUGAAGUAUUCCAUCACUGGAAAACAGAUUGAACUUAGAUUCGUCACUGAAUAGCACUUUUUUCCAAUUUUGUACAGUCCAACUUGACAUUUUUCUUCUGCAGCAAAGGUUUUUUAGCAGGUCUGUAGCUGUUAAGUCCAUCAGAACACAAUCGCCUGCUUACCGUUCUUGCAGAGAUAUUGGAAGGCUCACCUUCAUUUAAUUUUUGUAAAAUUUUGGAGAAUGACAAAAAUGGGUCAUUCUGGGAAAUAUUUAAAAUUCGCCUACUAUUUACACGGGCAGUCGUGGCUUUAGGUCUUCCAGUGCUUUUACCUGGUACCACAUUUCCAAAUAUACGAUAUUUCUUAAUUAUCCGUAACACGGUGUUCUACGUUUAGUCUUUGAGCAAUAAAAUUAAAAACUUAAAUUUUUAAAAGUUCCAACUUUUAAGGCCAAUACUGUACGUGUUCGGUUGAUUUUAUUUAGGCACGGAUUGCUUCACUAAAAAGAAGAAAAGAGCUGGGCAUUUUUAAAAUAAAUUUUCUAACCACAAUAUAUUUUAUAUAUCCACAUCUUUUCUAUUAUUGAAUUACAUUAGGAUCACACCUUUUAACUCGGUUUAAAAAAGUAACUAUUGAAGUAAUUUGAUUUUAUUUGACUUGAAAACGAUAGUAGAUUUAACUAUUGAUACGUUGUUUUCUGUUAAGUAGGAUAUUAGAAAUAAGAAACUCUGAGGGAAACUAUUAUACCUUAUUUAAAUUUGUAUUUGAGAUUGAUUGAACUUAUAUUAAAUUAAAUAACGAAAGGUUUGAGUUGGUAUUUCUUCUGAAUAUGUGAAAAAGUUUACUUUCUGCCUUUCAAUAAUAGUUUAUUUAAUAAUAACAUAAUAGCUAAUAAAUUAAUUAACUUAAUAUGAAUUCAUCAUAGAAAUAUAGAUUAAUAACGAUAUUUUUUCAUCAACAUUUAACAACAACAGUUAAAGUUCUAUAAUGCUUAAAAAGCUUCAUUUUGAUUCUUUUAGGAAAUUACUGGGCUAUUUAAUUAAUUUAUUAAAUAUUAAAUACGUGAGGUAAUGGCCGAUAAAUGGCAAUUUUUUUUUCUGGCAGAAAAGAAAACACUACACACUCGAUUCUGUAGCGCAUUUCUGUUUUAUGUAAUCUAGAUUAAAGUUUUCUUUGCUUACUAAUUGAUAUGUAUUAAAAAAACCAUUUAUUGUAUGCUAUCUAAAAUUUGUCGACAUUUGAUGAAUUUCCAACAUCAUAGAAAUUAGAUUUUAAUAUUUUCUUGAUAAAAUUAAUAUUUUGAAAUUAUAUUGAAGUCUAAAAAGUCCAGAGAGACGUGUGAGGACUUGUUUAGUAUCUAGGUAGAAGAACUCAUCAGAUACAUCUGAUAUACAAUUUAUUCAUAAACACCACAGUGUUUAUGGGUAAAUUGAUUGAGUGUUAAAUGAAUGCUAUUUGUUUCAGCAAGAAUAAAUAGUUUCCUUGAGCUUUAAUUUGACCCAUUUACCCACAAAACAUCUAUCUUAUUUUAACAUAAAAUUUUAACGAAAAAAUAAAAAAUAAUUUUAAACGAGUAUGGAGAAUACUGUAAAAAAAAAGUGAAAAAUAAAGAAAGAAAUUAAGUUGAUGUCCUGAAUGGUUUCUAUAUUAUGUGUUUUUAACAUUUUGUAAAUAUUUCAAUAAUUCUCAGGAUGUAGUAGGAAAUAAAGUGUUUGAUUGGCAA
rnacentral:misc_RNA from 1 species